AGUUAUUGGGCGUAAANAGCUUGUAGGCGGUUGGUCGCGUCUGCUGUGAAAGGCCGGGGCUUAACUCCGGUUUUGCAGUGGGUACGGGCUAACUAGAGUGCAGUAGGGGAGACUGGAAUUCCUGGUGUAGCGGUGGAAUGCACAGAUAUCAGGAGGAACACCGAUGGCGAAGGCAGGUCUCUGGGCUGUAACUGACGCUGAGAAGCGAAAGCAUGGGGAGCGAACAGGAUUAGAUACCCUGGUAGUCCAUGCCGUAAACGUUGGGCACUAGGUGUGGGGGACAUUCCACGUUUUCCGCGCCGUAGCUAACGCAUUAAGUGCCCCGCCUGGGGAGUACGGCCGCAAGGCUAAAACUCAAAGGAAUUGACGGGGGCCCGCACAAGCGGCGGAGCAUGCGGAUUAAUUCGAUGCAACGCGAAGAACCUUACCAAGGCUUGACAUGCAUUAGAUCGCGUCAGAGAUGGCGUUUCCCUUCGGGGCUGGUGUACAGGUGGUGCAUGGUUGUCGUCAGCUCGUGUCGUGAGAUGUUGGGUUAAGUCCCGCAACGAGCGCAACCCUCGUUCUAUGUUGCCAGCGGUUCGGCCGGGGACUCAUAGGAGACUGCCGGGGUCAACUCGGAGGGAGGUGGGGAUGACGUCAAAUCAUCAUGCCCCUUAUGUCUUGGGCUUCACGCAUGCUACAAUGGCCGGUACAGAGGGUUGCGAUACUGUGAGGUGGAGCUAAUCCCUUAAAGCCGGUCUCAGUUCGGAUUGGGGUCUGCAACUCGACCCCAUGAAGUCGGAGUCGCUAGUAAUCGCAGAUCAGCAACGCUGCGGUGAAUACGUUCCCGGGCCUUGUACACACCGCCCGUCAAGUCACGAA
rnacentral:rRNA from 1 species